CAACUUUCUUUUUUUUCCCCUUACUGACCACUGCUCCUGAAACCACCACCACCACCUUCAUCAGGAGAAAGAGCUGUCACUGGACACUGGUUCAGACCCCACAAAGUAAUACUGACAAGGUCAGCAUUAUCUUGUGCUGGGACACCCUAUGGAGUUGAGGAGAUAGAACAAAGUGCAAGACCAGAUAGGAGCUUCUAUACAGGUGAAAUGGGUCUUGAUCUGCAGACGCAUCAGGGACGAUCCACCCUAGGGCAUUGAGAAGAAUGGGCAAUUGCUAGUAUGUGCUACUAACCAUGUAAUUACAAAGUGACCACAAGUUUAAAAAUCCCCACUGUAAAAUUAAUCUUCCCAGGACAUCAGUAGGUAUAUACACUCAGACUGAGAUAACUCAAUUCACAGUCUGAAUAGCAUUAUUGCCCUCAAUGACACCAAUAUAUCACCAAGCCUAUCAGAAGACUUAGCAUCACAAAAGGAUCACCAUGCAGUUUGUGAGCACAGUGUGACAGUGUUACCUCCUGCCACCAGCAGGCUGCCAAGAAACACGUCUCAGUAGGAAUUUGUUUGGCCUUACCAGCAAAUUGAAAGAUACUGCUGCUGGGUUUCUCCUCCGGCACUGGCAGCAAUUGGUAUUAACAGAGUACGGAAUAUGCACUCAUCUAUUUUAGUGGCUCUUUAUGAUGGCACGGCUGGGAUUGGUUUACAGUGUGCAAAGAAAACAAAUGGCAAAUGCCACAGUAUUUAAGACCAGGACUUCAGUGUAGAAACAAACUGAAGCCAGUAACAAGAAAACACAACUCAGGGAAACUGAAGAGAGCUGCUGUACAUCCUGAGGAUCUGAUGGCAUCAUAAACCACUCUUGCAGUUACAUGGUGUCUUGAGAGCUUUCCGUUGUGUCUAUCUUAGCCGGUAUUUAAUUAACAGUGAGGUUUGGGAUACGAAUAUAAUACAACACGAACAUAAGAGAGAUCCUGCCAAUCCGGACACAGAAUAAAAGCCCUAAAAGUCAAGACAUUAAACUGCCAGAUUCACCCUUACUCCUUGCUGCGGCAACAUUUUCUGCAGUCAACUCAGUUGGGUUGUGGCAGUGGAGAUUUUCAGACCAGGCUAUAUUGAUGAAGGAGAGGAAGGUAAC